UACGUAGGAUGCAAGCGUUGUCCGGAUUUACUGGGCGUAAAGCGCACGUAGGCGGAUCGUUAAGUCAGGGGUGAAAUCCUGGAGCUCAACUCCAGAACUGCCUUUGAUACUGGCGAUCUUGAGUCCGGAAGAGGUGAGUGGAACUCCUAGUGUAGAGGUGGAAUUCGUAGAUAUUAGGAAGAACACCAGUGGCGAAGGCGGCUCACUGGUCCGGUACUGACGCUGAGGUGCGAAAGCGUGGGGAGCAAACAGG
rnacentral:rRNA from 1 species